rnacentral:rRNA from 1 species
UACGGGAGGCAGCAGUGGGGAAUAUUGCACAAUGGGCGCAAGCCUGAUGCAGCCAUGCCGCGUGUAUGAAAAAGGCCUUCGGGUUGUAAAGUACUUUCAGUCGUGAGGAAGGUGUUAAGGUUAAUAACCUUAGCAAUUGACGUUAGCGACAGAAGAAGCACCGGCUAACUCCGUGCCAGCAGCCGCGGUAAUACGGAGGGUGCGAGCGUUAAUCGGAAUUACUGGGCGUAAAGGGCACGCAGGCGGUUAAUUAAGUUGGAUGUGAAAUCCCCGGGCUUAACCUGGGAAUGGCAUUCAAGCUGGUUAGCUAGAGUCUUGUAGAGGGGGUAGGAAUUCCAUGUGUAGCGGUGAAAUGCGUAGAGAUGUGGAGGAAUACCGGUGGCGAAGGCGGCCCCUGGACAAAGACUGACGCUCAUGUGCGAAAGCGUGGGGAGCGAAACAGGGAUUAGAUACC